GUUGGAAUUCAAAAGAAAGCUAGGGAGCCAAGCAGCCCAGGAGAAAACUGGGUGAGGAUGCUGCCUGCUGUCCUUUCAUGGUGUGUACAAAGAUGGACCCAUACCUACCUGCAGGGGAAGCACAGGUCUACGAGCGGAAUCCAGAAAGAGACAUUCCAUUGGCACUGGAAUACACGGAAAGCCACUGAUGCUGGAGACUCCCUGAGCUACUUGGAUGACCCACCUCCAGCAUCAUCAAUUCAUGUGAGCUUGCAGGUUUACUCAACACAUACUAACUGAGCACCUUCUGUGUGGAGAACAAGCUACUUGUACCUGACUGCAUAUCCCUGGAGAGGUGACAAGCGCUUUCCAGACAAAAGCAUCUCCCCGAAGAAGACAUCAUGAUGGCUCAGCAUACCCUUGGUUCCAUGUAGGUGCGCAUUACAGCUGACUGGUUCACAGAAGCAAAGGUCUGCCUGCCCAUCCUUCACCUCUGAGGUCCUACAGUCUCUGCUCUCAAUCUAGCACCGGCAGAAAGGAGGACCAGCACCAGCACUGAGGGUCUCUCUGGUCAAGGUCAUCCAAGUCUGGUCUCCACAUACGGUUCAGGCAGGCAAGACAGCCCUCAAUCUGUUACCAAUGCCUGUCUGCCAAGCUGUGUAACCUUCCCGAGCCUGAUUUCCUCCCAGGUAACAGGAG